AACAGGUGUUUUACUUGGCGAAUGAGGGUGAAUCACCCGGGAAAGGCGCCAACACUGUUGUUAGCUAUGUGCAUUACUAGCUUCAUCACUAUGGCCUAGGGGAGGAAGAGGCAGUUUUCUACUUUGACAACUGCUGAACAAAAUAAGAACAACUGUGUACUUUGGUAUGCAUUGUGGAGAUUUAGUGUUGGGCUGCACACUCAAAUGAGAUACUCGAUGAUGGUGACUGCGGCCACACCAAGUUCUAGCCUGAUUGGCAUUUUGGAUUAUGGAAGUCAAAGUACUUUGUGAUGCAGAGACCAUCGAAGCUGUUGCUGAGACUGUAUCCACCUCCUCAAGGUCUGGACUUAAUGUUCCGCACAUGAUUGGUGAUUUGGAGAAGCCUGUGCACCUAUACGAUUGGAAAAUUUUUCUUGCCCAGUUGUUCAUACCCUUGGAGAACAUUUGAAAGUACAAACAUUUCCUCAUUUAUGCUGGUAAACCAGGCUUGGUAUUUUAUAAAACGAGUGAAAAAUCUACAGUUGAAACUCACUGUUUGUUUAACUUUAAAGAGUGCUGACCUCUUACCAUCAAUGUCUAGCCAGUCUUGCCCAGCCUGAAUUAAAGGACCUUGACUCAGUAUCGCCUGACAAUGGUACCUUUAUGAGGAAAUAGGGCAGUUUUUUUUAUCAGACCUCAGUAGACAAGCUACCUGUCCCAAGCCG